rnacentral:lncRNA from 1 species
UGUAAGGUUCUAUGGAAAAACAUUUGGAAUAUUUUUCAUGAGUUGCAACCUAAAAUGUUUUGUUCUGUUAUAUUUGGUUUAGAUUUGUAGUGACCUAAAUUGGAGUUAAAUCCUAAUCUAAUUGGGAUUGGAUAAAUUUAGAUUUAAUUUGGCAUAUAUGGAUUAUAAUUAGGAGUGUAAUUCUAAUUGAAUUAGAAUUAGACUCUAGUUAGGAGACAUGUAUUAUAUAUACAUGCUACGGCCAAGCUAAUGAUGCCGCGACUCAAAUUAAGGC